GACGGAGGAUGCAAGUGUUAUCCGGAAUCACUGGGCGUAAAGCGUCUGUAGGUGGUUUAAUAAGUCAACUGUUAAAUCUUGAGGCUCAACCUCAAAAUCGCAGUCGAAACUAUUAGGCUAGAGUAUGGUAGAGGUAAAGGGAAUUUCCAGUGGAGCGGUGAAAUGCGUAGAGAUUGGAAAGAACACCGAUGGCGAAGGCACUUUACUGGGCUAUUACUAACACUCAGAGACGAAAGCUAGGGUAGCAAAUGGG
rnacentral:rRNA from 1 species